UCAUAUAAAAGACCUGUUUUGUAUACUUCUUGUUAUAUUAUUAUUUAUUACUUGUAGCUGUGGUGUUUUCUCUGCUUAUGUUGUCAAUAGCGCAACAACCAUGCAUAAGCAAAAAAGUGGGGGAAGGAGGUCACUGGCGGUGGACAGUGGUAACUGCCUGAUAAUUUUAUGUUCUGCUAAGUCCUCCUCAAUCCAAAAGCCAGUUAAUAAAUUCAUUCUCUUCUCUCACCCAAGAGAACAAAUAUUGCUCACCCACCAUUAGAGGAGGUAAUUACAUCAUCAUGUCAAGAGAAUAAAUAUUGCCCACCCACCAUAA
rnacentral:ribozyme from 14 species